GCUGUCGUCAGCUCGUGUUGUGAAAUGUUGGGUUAAGUCCCGCAACGAGCGCAACCCUUAUCCUUUGUUGCCAGCACGUAAUGGUGGGAACUCAAAGGAGACUGCCGGUGAUAAACCGGAGGAAGGUGGGGAUGACGUCAAGUCAUCAUGGCCCUUACGAGUAGGGCUACACACGUGCUACAAUGGCAGAUACAAAGAGAAGCGACCUCGCGAGAGCAAGCGGAACUCAUAAAGUCUGUCGUAGUCCGGAUUGGAGUCUGCAACUCGACUCCAUGAAGUCGGAAUCGCUAGUAAUCGUAGAUCAGAAUGCUACGGUGAAUACGUUCCCGGGCCUUGUACACACCGCCCGUCACACCAUGGGAGUGGGUUGCAAAAGAAGUAGGUAGCUUAACCUUCGGGAGGGCGCUUACCACUUUGUGAUUCAUGACUGGGGUGAAGUCGUAACAAGGUAACCGUAGGGGAACCUGCGGUUGGAUCACCUCCUUA
rnacentral:rRNA from 1 species